CAUUAUCUUGCGCAGGGUUUGAAGGGUUUGGGUGAAUGUGUACACCACUCGGGUGUAAUGGCAGACUUUGUCUGAAGCUCUCUGAUGAACGCAAAGCAGCUUUAGAAACCAUAUUACAUCCCAAACCGCAGAAAUAAGGGAAAUAAUAUAAAAGCAGAAAAUGAUAAUGGUAUUAAAAACAUGUCAGAAGAGGCUUUGGCUUAAUAGGCUUAUGUACACACCUCUGCCAUGUCUGCAACUUUCAAAGGAAUUUACAUAUAUGGAUAUAUGCAGAUAAAAUGACGAAGAGUAUCAGAAACCCUGAUGCAGAUCUCACAAACAAAGACACUGGCUACAUUCAGUAACAUGAAAUCUGUCUGUCUUCAUAUUUAACUGCACACGUCUCUCUCCAGGAAAGAGAUUCUUCACUGUUAUUUAUCAUGGAUUGCCUGAGCAGUUUUUGUCUCUUUCGAAGGUUUUUGCUGUUGUUUUUAGUCAGGGCACUUCACACGGAUAAAUGGCAAAACAACACAAUAAACACAAAGUACAAAUCAGCUGAAGCAGUGCUCUGAUUGGACGGAACCUGGAGGGGGGUUCACGUCUUUGUCUUACUGUGACCUUGAUUGGCAGAAAGCUUCAAUAGUGAGGUAAAAGAUUACUCUAGAAACCAUGGCAACAGGAGGUGGUGUAAAUGAUGAAGUGCAGCACAGAAGGACAGAUGAUGGUAAAGCUGACCAGCACGUGUCAUCAUCACCGAACAUGAAUACACUUGUUGUUCAGGGUCAGUAAAAAUAACACACAGAUGACUUUGGUUUGUACUUUUGAAGCACCACAGGCUGCCUGAUCACAAGACUUUAUGACAAAAAAUGUCUGAACUGGAACAAAUGAAGCCCAUGACGAGAGUAAAGCAACAGUCAAUUCACUAUGUGGCCCCUUUUGUCUCAGUGUUGACCUGUUAAAGAGACGCGACGAGCAGAUUUCAUUUGGAUUUUAAUUCAUCAAAAACUGACAACGGACAUAUUUCCAUGAACUUUUCUUCUGUUUAUGUCCAGGUUUCUCAGGCGUGCUUGACUGAGGCUACAGGAUUUGACACCUCAAACACAAUUCUCAUUUUAAUUCUCACUUUGUCACGGUUAUGCUCUGUUUUAGGGUUAGUUUUCUGUGUUCUGUUCUCCUGCCUGGGUUGUUAAUUGCCCCUAACCUGUUUCAGUUUCCCCGUGAUUACGUUUCUCCAUGUAUUUAAGCCCCGUGUGUUCCUCGGCUGCUAUUGUUUGAUGUUUUGUGCGAUUUAUGUUCCUGUGUUUGCUCCUGGAUUUAUUAUUAGAGUACUCUUUUGGAUAUUAUACCCCAUCGUCGUGCGCUUGUAUUUAGACUACACGUGACACAUUUAUUUUCUAGAACUCUUUUCACAAUUUUGCAUUGUUACACAUUACAGUAAAUGGAGCCAAAAUACAGUAAGUAGAGUCAUAAUGAAAAAAGGUAAUAUUUAAUUGAAUACGUCUUAAUUUAGUUUUAAUACAUCAGUGAUACUAACUGUAUGAAUAUCUGUCUGUAGGAUUGUAUUCUCACUGUUAUGUUGUGUUUCCAUGUUUUAUGGGGUUGUUCUAUGGAUAUAAAGAUUUUUAUACUGUACAAAGUAAACGAACCAUCACACAAACCUUUCUGCAUUUGUACAUUUAAAGAAAUUGUCCCCACAAGGUCAUAUCAGUAAUAUCAUAAUAAUAACAUCAGUCAUUUUUUUCUCUGCAAGGCCAAAAAUGACUGAUAUUACAGAAUUAUCUUUGUGUGGACAGACAGACGAAAACACACAUAUGAUCAUCUUUCCCUUUCUUUAGUAGAUAUUUAACAACAUACAGAACUGCUCAUGAUGAAUUGAAUUUAUUGGUAAAUGAGAAAUGUCAGCAGCUUUAAAUAUAUUUGAAAUCCACAAUUGUGUCCUUUCUAAACUAGAAUUUAUAAUUUCAUGUUUAUGUUUUUAGGUUUAUAUAUUCCUUGGGGUUUAUAAGGAGAGAGAGACAUAAAUACAGCCUCAGAUAUUCUGACAUGACCCGUUAAAUUGAUUUCUGUUUAUCGUUAGGAUGACCUGCAGGACGGAUCAGCGGUCGACACCUUGUGGAAUUGCUGUGGUUUUCUCUUUCUGUUUUGUAUGUUAAACAAGUGGAGGCUGAGUGUAGUUUCAAGCUGAACUUUUGCCAGAAAUGCUGCUGUUGCCAUGGCAACUAAUGGAGUGUUUUACUAACUCAUCCACCAGUGUGUGUGUGUGUGUGUGUGUGUGUGUGUGUAUACAGGUAUAUCUAUUGUACCCACAAUGAUGGUAAAAGUCUGAACCACCUAUAGUUCAUUGUGUGCAUGUGUCAGCCAGUCGUCCUCACCAUGUAAACUGAUUAUUAAUCCAAGUAAAUGAUGUUUAUUUGAAAAUGAGAGGUUUGUGUGAUAUUUCUAUGGAAAAGACCCCAUAAAACAUGUUAACACAACAUGUGGAUGUGUUUCUGUGAAUAAUUAGCAGUGUAAUAUUAGCGUGGGUGGUUAAUUGAGUGUUGGAAGGUUCACGUGGCUUUCAGUUUUCACUGUGACACAUAAUUUGUUUGUUUGGAGUAAAUGUAUUUUGCUCAGAAAAGAAAUGCCUCAAUUUUUAAUGAUCUGGAGUGCAUAACUUGACCAAUUGACUCUUUGUUUGUGAUAACAUUUUGUUUAUUUUAUAUUGACUCUAAUGGGCUGUGAGAAUCUGAGAGGUUUUUAGAGUUUCAGGAGCUUCUGAUGUUUAAAAAAACUUCAGACUUCAGCCGAUUAGAAACAUUUAAUAUAUGAAGGAUAAAUGAAUGUGAGAACUGCUAUGAUUGACUAAAGUUUUCAUAAUCAAAAAAAUCCUCACGGUUUGUGUAAAAGUGUACAAUUAUUAUUCAGAUGAUUAAAAAUGGUCCU